UACGUAGGGUGCGAGCGUUGUCCGGAAUUAUUGGGCGUAAAGGGCUCGUAGGCGGUUUGUCGCGUCGGGAGUGAAAACGCCGGGCUUAACUCGGUGCUUGCUUUCGAUACGGGCAGACUAGAGGUAUGCAGGGGAGAACGGAAUUCCUGGUGUAGCGGUGAAAUGCGCAGAUAUCAGGAGGAACACCGGUGGCGAAGGCGGAUCUCUGGGCCGAUACUGACGCUGAGGAGCGAAAGCGUGGGGAGCGAACAGG
rnacentral:rRNA from 1 species